GGUCAUCAUUUUGAAUCAUGAAGCUUCCUCUGCUGCUGCUCUGCUCUGUGCUGCUGCUCUCCAUCUCAGGUCUGUCUCUUUUUAAAGGUUUAUUUAUCACAUGUUUAAGCUACAGAGUCAAAACUCUUUACUGGCCAAAGUACCAACUUGUAAAACUCUAAACUGAUUGAACCUCAAACUGACCACAGUUACUCUGCUGUCACUGUGAUGAUUAAUCUUGGAACAGAGCUCAGAUUAAAGGCCAGUGGAAAAAAGUUUUUUGGACUUUAGGAUUCAUUAAGGGAAUUAUUCAUUCAUGGACAUGUUGAUUUAUGAUGAAUAGAGUGUAAACACAGAUUAGUGUGUUUAUUUUUGUUUGCUUUAACAUGUUUUUUUGUUUUUUACAGACAGACUGUGACAUUAAUGUGUUAACUAUGAACUGUUUCUGACUAUGAUCUAAGUAUGCAUUACUGAACUCCAUUAAUCAGGACUGAAAUUCUAUCUUCAUAAGGGAAAAGGUUGUGAGAUGAAAUAGUUCCUCUUUCACAGGGUGUCAACCUCACUUCAGGUCCUUUUUACAGAGACAGAAAAGAUGCAGAGUGAUGAUCUGCUGGGUCACAUUUCUCUGAGCUAAACACUGUGACAUCUUCCCAUUGUUCUCUAACGAAUGUGUUUGUGUGUCUUCAGAGAUACGGACUGAUAUUAGAUUAUUUUUUAUCCAGUUUUCUCAUAGAGGAGGCUGUGGUUUUUUCUCUCAGUCCAUGUGACCGUUUUACAGCAAUAAAACAUAAAUUUAUGCUCCACCACAGUGAGCAAUAAUCAUUGGAGGACAGUAAAGAAUUGUAAUAAGUCUCCUCAAAGAAUAAUACUCCAGCGAAUACUCAAAAAUGGGACUUGGCCAUGACCGACAUUAACACACAACAGGUGGAUAUUUUUUCCCACCUUAUUGUUCACAGCUUGUAACCUUAGAGCCUUGCUUCUCUUCACACACCUGACUGUUGUCUACUGUAUUAUUUAGAAAAUUAAAAAAAUUAGACCGGUCCCUUUUAAAGCUUUAAAUCUCUUCUCUGACAGAAAAGCCACACCUGCCACAUUCAUCUAAAGAUUAUUACUGAGAUAGGAGUCACUCUCUGUUCAAUUGAAUCUCAUGUGUAAUGUGUAUACGUGCAUGCGUGCAUUUGUGUGUGUGUGUGUGUGUGUGUGUGUGUAGUCCUGUCUCAGGAAAAUGAGGGUCCAGCUGACGGACAAGGAGACUGUGCUGAACCCUGGGCGGUAAGACUCAGAAACACACACAUUAACACACUAAUACUCAUGCAGAGCUCAGAGGAGUGGUGUGUUUCCGUUGAUGUUAAGUUGUAAACAUGAUUCCGUCACUUCUAAACCUUCUGGGGUGAAUUCACCAAGAACAGAGUGGAGUUGCCUUUUGUACCAUGAGUUGUGCAUCAUUUGCCUCUGCUCUGAGCUCCAUCUCCACCACUCAUGUACAUUUGUGUAGUAAUUAAAGGCUACAAAUUUAUUGAUGAGAUGCGUGUGUGUGUGUUUUUGCGUGUGUUUUUGUGUGUGCGUGUGUGUUUUAUCCAGGCCCAUUGUGAGAAAUACGACUUACCUUACUGCUUUAAGGUUUAUAACCCUGUUUGCGGUGAUGAUGGCGUAACCUACAGUAACGAGUGUACACUCUGUUUUCACAACUUGUAAGAUGUGCACACACACACACACACGCACGCACGCACAACCACACACACACACACACACACACACACACACACACACACACACACACACACACACACACACACACACACACACACACAAAUCUGCUCUUUCAAUCCUUUUCUACCUGUUAAGGUAAUUCGUGGAGACAGUUGAUUACUGGACAGCUGACCAGUAACUUCUGCUCUUAGAUCAAUCUGAUGUUUUCAUCCAUUGUCUGUGCUCUUACUGAGCUCAGAUCAAUGGAUAGCUUAGUUUGAGCAGAGAGAGCAGUGUGUUGUUAGCAUGCAGAUGGAUCAUGAUGGCUGCAUCAUUGAGUUUAAAGAGAUUUUAGGGUGAACAGGUUGUAUUUCUGUGAGUUGGGCUCUUUUAUGCUCUAGUGAGACUGUGAGAUUCUGGAUACAUGAUUUUGGCCAGUAUGCAGUAUGUCUCCAGAAAAUAAAAAGAGGCUGAGAGAGGAACCCUGAAGAACACCAUACUGAGGUUUAUCAGAGAGACAGAAAAACUCCUGUCAGAGAUAUAUUUACAGUCUAUAGCUCCCACACUCUGAUUUCUCAAAGACUAUUUUUACAAUAUUCGUAUUAACUCCACACACACAUUUCAAAUGUAAAAACUAACUCCUUGAAUGUUCUGGGGGUUUUUUUGUUUGUUUUUCUACAGGGAGAAUCACGCCACUGUGAAAAUCCUGAGAGAAGGGGAAUGCGAUUAACUGCUGUGUGCCACACGCAUGCACACACAUACUGAAUAAAGUCUCAUACUGAUUCCCUCACACCCUCUGUCU
rnacentral:lncRNA from 1 species